CUUUUGGAAUUUUGUAUAUAGCUAUCAGAAUAAGAAUUGAUGAAUGAAGUUAGAGAGAUGCAGCACAUUCAUUCGGCCAGAAUCAUUAGUCAAACUUCAAAACAACAUUCAAGCACAAUACCUGUUUCAAUCUAUGGGCUAUGGCUGAUCUAGCAAGGGACGAAAUCAUGAAAGGAUCAGCGAUCGCGGCGACAGAUAACAACGAGUUGGUGGCAGACUAGCAGCAAGAAUGGAAACGUUCGUCAGUGGCGGUGGCCAGUCUUUGUGAUUUGGUGAUUCACAG
rnacentral:lncRNA from 1 species